rnacentral:rRNA from 1 species
AGCAGCCGCGGUAAUUCCAGCUCCAAUAGCGUAUAUUAAAGUUGUUGCAGUUAAAAAGCUCGUAGUUGAAUUUCGGGAUCUGUCAAUUGGUCGGGCUUCACGGUCCGUACUGGUUCGAUGGGUUCCUACCUUCUGAAUAACCAGCAUGCCAUUCAUUUGGUGCGCCGGGGAAGCAGAGCUAUUACCUUGAAAAAAUUAGAGUGCUUAAAGCAGGCUAGUGCUUGAAUAGAUUAGCAUGGAAUAAUAAAAUAGGACGGCAUGGUUCUAUUUUGUUGGUU